AAUGCUAAACAAAAGCAACCCAACCAAAACAAAUGACAUGAAACCUACUUUCAAACCAUCUGAAAAAAAAAAAAAAGAGAUAAGCCUAUAUGAAUCACUAUUAUCCCUUGAAGAUGAACAAAUUUCAGAGACUGCUUGUAGAUAAUCGGCGAGCGGUAUAACCUAAUCUGGCAGAUCCAUCCACCACCAAUCUUUUUCCACCGCAAUAGCAGCGGAAAAAGGCAUCCCUUGUGUCAGAUAAGUCGAUACUCCUCUCUUUAUGCCCUCUAUAGCUAAUAGAUGUGCUACUCUGUUCCCCUGUUUCGGUGCAUGUCUGAAAAAACAACUUUGAUAACUUUCACCGAGCGAUAUUGAGCUCCUUAUGUACGCACUGAUUCGUAUCUGUCUUCCCUGAUUGCAUGAAGCUUUUUCACUAUAGUAAGCGUGUCCCCCUCAAUCUCCUCAAAAAAUCCCAAUACCAGGUCCAUCUAAACCGCAUGAAAGCAUGCAAGAGCCCCCGCAGCGAAUGCCAAAAAUAUGUGGUCAUUCAUUAUCAUUCUGGAACCCAACACUACACCAUUUGAAUUUUAAUCACAAUUACCGUCAUGACCUCUUGGAAUGAUUUUGAAAAGUAACAUCAAAAUAAAUAUUCACAUAAGGACUUUCCGACAACCUCCAUCGUUCAGUCUCCACCCUUUGAAUAUGUAAUUUCUGGUUGAUUCCAUCUAACUCCUGCACAUAUGUAAUGAUAAAGUGGGUUGUGUCGAAAGGUGUCUAUCUAUCUCCUUCAUGAACUGCUUUAAUCCUACCUGUCCAUGUAGUCUAAAUUACACAAGCCACUAUCCUACACUGGUAAAUGGAAUUAUUCAAGAAAAUAUAUGCCAACCAAUCCUUGUAUUCUAACUCGGAUACUGCUUGGGGCCAAAUGGUAUUUAACAUCUGCCAUAUUUCCUUUACAAUGGAGUAAUCACGGAAAACAUGCUCUAAGUUUUCAACUCCAUUAAAGUAUCUAAGACAAGUAGCUAAACCAACCAAUCUUAUGUAGUGUAAGUUAUUAAAAGCAGGAAGGAAAUUCUGGAAAACUCUCCAAUUUGUAAUCUUUAUUUUAGCUGGUAGAUUAAUGAGCCAAAGUUUUUUUUGUAAAAAAGUGUAUAAGUAUUUUGGUUGUAAUUAGGCAUAGGUGUGUGAAUACUUUGUAAAAGUAGUUUGUAUCCACUUUGCACAGAAUACUCACCUGAAGCUUCGCCUCGUCAUACAAGUUUAUCAUCAUGUGGAACUCGUGUAAGGGAAUGCAUAUAAUUCUUUCUGCUUCAUCAGCAUGAAAUACCCUGGCACCCAAGCUUUAGCCUAGACCAAGAUUUGAGUCAUUGUUCCAACUCAUCAACAUUUAUCAGCUUGAAGGUGCCCAUUUGUAGCCCAAAUACUUUUUCAGAUCAAGAACCGAAGAAAUCAGAGUUGGAUCGGGGAAAAACUAAAGUUGUCGAUUAAUCGUCUGGUUUCGACUUUUCAACGUACGAGACUUUAGAUCAAGCUUCAAGCUCGGGGAUCGUCAGCAAGUUCAUCACCCUAUCUAUUAUCUCGGUAUUUAAAAUAUUUAAAUUCUAACUAUGGCAUGUAUAAACUAGAUAAAUGUUUUGAAGGUCGUAUUUUGUUGUAUUGUAUAUGAUUAUUAUAGCCAUACUAAAAUGGUUUAUUUUCUUA